GGGGAAGCGUGUGAACUACACCCACGAACCUCCAAUGCUAGUGUUCUUAUAUUCUUUUUAUAACUUCUAAAAUAAUUAAAGUGAAAUUUGUCUUCUGCUCACCCCAUCCGCAGCUUACAGGUAAACCGCUUCGACCACAACGUAUACAGACAGUCAACACGAUGGGAACAGUCACUGAGUACUAAUAAUACUAGGGGUUGUGACCCCGCGCUUGAUGGUUAAUAUUUCUAGGUAUGCGUUGUAUCUUGUACUUGAAUCAUGGCAGUUUGCAUGUAGAAGGUAGUUAAUAUUAGCCAGCUUCCUCUUUCGUUUCUACUUCUCUCCCCUUUUCUUAAAAUUGGUCAUAAUCAUAUUAAACAUUUGAAAAUGCAAAUCUUUAUAUCAAGUAAUGACUGACUCAUAAAGCUGACCUAUCUUUGUUUAGUUUUUGAACGAUGUUUAGCUUUUUUUCUAGACUGUUCUCAUGUCUUCAUCGUCACCCAAAGGCUCACAAUGUUUUCUGGCUCAUCUUUUUCACGGUGCUCCUCGAAGAACGCAUUGUCGGUGCCUUGUAUUUAAUCCGAGUUGGAACGCUGCUGCUGAUCCGUCUUUGUCAAUGGGUUCUUCUUCGGAGAAGUUGUCUAACAGAGAGGACAGUCUAUUAAAUUUUGAGAAGGUGGCAUUGUUAAAUGAAUCCAUCCGCACAAAAUUUAAGCGACCUAACUUUCUCUCACCACUUUAACCUUUUCUCUUACGAUAAUUGUGUGAUGGAUGGUGUCUGAGAGUUCAGGUCACCAUCUUCGUUCUUCUUUCAAGUGUUCUCCUCCUUAUUCUCUCAGUUAACUUCCUCUGCAUGACUGCAUCCAUUCCCAAAAUACUAAAACAAUAAAGGUUUCAAAUAUUUUUUUUAUAGGACAACAAACAAAUACUUUACCUUGUCAAUUUUAAACUUUGCUACUGUUAAAAAAAAAACUUUGCUACUAUUAAAAAAAGCUUUGGAUGAUUUAGCAAGGGAAGAAUGAUCCUGACCUGAAAAAGGAGGUGAAGAAUCACCAAAAAAAAAUACCGAGAAGCCACUUCAUAAAAAUCAUAAAUCGAGAAAAAUCAAUUCGGCUUUUACACAUACAGCAGAAAGAUUUCAGGUAACCCAACCAUUUAAUCAAGAAUUCGGAAGGAGAGACAAUGAUUACCUCCUGAACAACCUUGCUCUUCCGCGGCUCCUCUUGCAGGCAAAAUGCUCUGGAGGACUUCUUCUUUCUUCCAAUCUACGGCUGUAACGGGCGUUUUAUAUACUUUCCGUAUACUAAUUAAUUAGUGUUGAAACAGACACAAUUUCUAGUAGAUGUUAUUAGGACCAUUAAUGGUGAUUUGAUUAAAGGGUAGGAGAUGGAGAGAUUGAAAAAGAGAAACUGCAAUCGAAAAUACCAAGGGUCACUCUGCGCUUUGUGAUUUCUUCGAAGCAAUGGAGGAAAA
rnacentral:lncRNA from 1 species